rnacentral:lncRNA from 1 species
CUGAUCUCUGGUUAGGAGAGUUUUGUACCCUUGUUAAGGGGAACUACGUCACCCUAAUUCUCAUACCAGAUGAGAUACGUAGGCAGGAGGUUGUGAGCAAUCUCUCCGGGCACCCUUUUUCUUUUUUUGUUGUGUUGUUUUCGUGUGUUUGUUCACCCUUUUCUUUUUUGAGUCUAUGUUGGUUCAACCUUUUCUUUUUUUGUUGUUUGGUGUGUGUACCCUUUGUUUGUCUUCUUUGGUGUGAGUACCCGUUUGCUCAGCGUGUACAUGUGUUGUAUGUUCA